GUGAGAGAAGGAGAAGGAAAUGAGGUCAGGAGGAAUCUGUGGGAACCAAACAUCAGCCUGGUUGCCUGAUCCUCUCCCUAAAAAUGCCAGAAUGAUGUGAAAUGCCAUGCUUGACUGGCUCCCAGCAGUGGAGGGAAAUCUUCAUCCCUCUUCUAUGAGUCUUUCUUGAUUUCCUGAUAAAAACCUCCUUUGCAGAAAGAAUUCAG